AGCGUUAUCCGGAAUUAUUGGGCGUAAAGAGCUCGUAGGCGGUUUGUCGCGUCUGCCGUGAAAGUCCGGGGCUUAACUCCGGAUCUGCGGUGGGUACGGGCAGACUUGAGUGAUGUAGGGGAGACUGGAAUUCCUGGUGUAGCGGUGAAAUGCGCAGAUAUCAGGAGGAACACCGAUGGCGAAGGCAGGUCUCUGGGCAUUAACUGACGCUGAGGAGCGAAAGCAUGGGGAGCGAACAGGAUUAGAUACCCUGGUAGUCCAUGCCGUAAACGUUGGGCACUAGGUGUGGGGGACAUUCCACGUUUUCCGCGCCGUAGCUAACGCAUUAAGUGCCCCGCCUGGGGAGUACGGCCGCAAGGCUAAAACUCAAAGGAAUUGACGGGGGCCCGCACAAGCGGCGGAGCAUGCGGAUUAAUUCGAUGCAACGCGAAGAACCUUACCAAGGCUUGACAUGAACCGGAACGGCGCAGAGAUGUGUCGGCCACUUGUGGCCGGUUUACAGGUGGUGCAUGGUUGUCGUCAGCUCGUGUCGUGAGAUGUUGGGUUAAGUCCCGCAACGAGCGCAACCCUCGUUCCAUGUUGCCAGCGGGUUAUGCCGGGGACUCAUGGGAGACUGCCGGGGUCAACUCGGAGGAAGGUGGGGACGACGUCAAAUCAUCAUGCCCCUUAUGUCUUGGGCUUCACGCAUGCUACAAUGGCCGGUACAAAGGGUUGCGAUGCUGUGAGGUGGAGCUAAUCCCAAAAAGCCGGUCUCAGUUCGGAUUGAGGUCUGCAACUCGACCUCAUGAAGUCGGAGUCGCUAGUAAUCGCAGAUCAGCAACGCUGCGGUGAAUACGUUCCCGGGCCUUGUACACACCGCCCGUCAAGUCACGAAAGUUGGUAACACCCGAAGCCGGUGGCCUAACCCCUU
rnacentral:rRNA from 1 species